rnacentral:rRNA from 1 species
AUAGCGUAUAUUAAAGUUGUUGUGGUUAAAAAGCUCGUAGUUGAACCUUGGGCCUGGCUGGCCGGUCCCCCUCACCGGGUGCACUGAUCCAGCCGGGCCUUUCCCUCUGUGGAACCUCAUGGCCUUCACUGGCUGUGCUGGGGAAACAGGACUUUUACUUUGAAAAAAUUAGAGUGCUCCAGGCAGGCCUAUGCUCGAAUACAUUAGCAUGGAAUAAUAGAAUAGGACGUGUGGUUCUAUUUUGUUGGUUUCUAGGACCGCCGUAAUGAUUAAUAGGGACAGUCGGGGGCAUCAGUAUUCAAUUGUCAGAGGUGAAAUUCUUGGAUCUAUUGAAGACUAACUACUGCGAAAGCAUUUGCCAAGGAUGUUUUCAUUGAUAAGGAACGAAAGUUAGGGGAUCGAAGACGAUCAGAUAC